ACCUGGGGUGUGGAAGGCUUGGUACUAAGCGCUUUGCCUCUUUACCAGCUUUUUUGGGUUGUUUUGUUUUUGGUUAUCGAACAGUUAUGCUUUAAAUAUUUCUUCCAAAAGAGACCCUGCAUUUUCUAGAAUCAACAUUGUCUUAUAACUUAUGUUUAAUAGAGAUUACAUUUUAUUCUGUUUCUACUAGUUAGAAGCUCUACACGGGGAGAGAGGGGAAGGAGAGAGAAAAAGGGAAAGAGAGGGAGAAGGAGAGAGUGAGAAAAAGAGGGAGAAACAUAUUAUAGAAAACAAAUUCUUCUGAUGUGCUUCAACACAUUACGUUUAAUACUUGAGUCUCUGUGAAUCUUCGUGGAGGUUCUCCAGAAAUGGACAAAAAUUCAAUAUUUCCACCAUGAAAAUUCCAGGAAUGCCUAUGACUCCAUCCAAAGGCAGCUGAUUUUCCUUUUGCUCUUGAUUAAUGCAUUUCUUCCAUCUCCAACUAAACAAAGGCUACUGAUUUUCCUCCCAAAAGUUACUUCCUUUGGAACAUACCAAAAAUACCAUUGAGAACAAUGAUAUGAGUCGUUUCAGGUGAAGCGUUUUUAGUUAAGAAGAUUUUAAAAGUACAGAUUCAAUUAUUUUUACCGCAGCUUUGGUCAAGGCUUCCUGAAGUGGCUCUACGGAGCACUUCCCACAAGAUGGCAGUGUUGUAUGCGGCUGGAGAGCCCUCCACUUGCGGAAGGGUUAUCUUCACAAUUACGGCUAAGAACGUAUCCCUACAGCUUUAGUUCCUGAAAUAUUAUUUGUUUCCAGGUUCAUGAGAUCUGAGAGCCAUCAGGAGUAUAUCUUUAACAUUUAGAUCUAUGGGUUAGCAAGGUGUCUAAUCAGCGGUACUUAAUAAAUGUCUACUAGAUGAACGGAUGAAUGAAUGAUACAUGUGUAUCAACUUCACAUAAGCCAACAGCAGGGGAAGGAGGCUGGAACAACUCCAAGACGGAAGGAAGCAAGGGCCACUGCGCCGUCUCCCUUUGUGAUGAAAGAGUUCUUCAGUACUCCAUUGUUCUUUUCCCUACUUGCUGACAGGUUUUGACAAGAACACGAUUCACCCUAAUAAGGCCUGAUGGCCCAUCUGCUCACCCAGCCAUUUUCCUCCUUAAAAUGGGCAAAGCAGCUAUUCUGAUCCUAUCAUAAAACACAAAAUUAGUUACAGCAAAAACAUGUGGGGGAAGUGUCUAUUAAUAAAAGGUAGUCCAUACAAACAAUAUAUGUUACCAGAGAGAGAAAUUCUUGGGCAGUCUUUCAAGUCUGAUAAGCCCACUGUGGAAAAGGACUUUGUGGGGGAAAGUGGUGGGUGGGAAAGCUCCACGAUGAGGUCAGAGGGUGGCGUUCGACCUAAGCUAAAGCAGUGGCCUCCCCCAGGUCACUUUCCCUCUCUGUGCUUCAGUUUCCUCUGCUUCAGAUGGGGGAGGGGAGUACCAGCUGAUCCCCAGGGACCCAUCUAGCUCUGAUACAGUCAGCUUCUACCUUUUCUUCACAUUAUGGCUUAAACGAUCAUAGUGUAAAUGCCUAAGGGCCAACCAGAGAAUUCUAAAUGUUUGCUCUGAAGGGAAAGAAAUAACUGAUUUCAAACAAUUGUAAAAUGCCAGGGUUUUUGCUGUGUUUGUUUUGGUAUCAAAUAUAAAUAUCUCUCUGUAUUAGCUGUUGCUUCUGUUCUCCUAUAGCAUCGAUUUUCCGAAGCAAUUAUAGGCUUACAGUAUUUAAAAUGUUGUAUGAAGCUAGUUUGGGUAA
rnacentral:lncRNA from 10 species